ACUCUGAUCCAGCCAUGCCGCGUGCAGGAUGACUGCCCUAUGGGUUGUAAACUGCUUUUAUCCGGGAAUAAACCUCAUUACGUGUAAUGAGCUGAAUGUACCGGAAGAAUAAGGAUCGGCUAACUCCGUGCCAUCAGCCGCGGUAAUACGGAGGAUCCAAGCGUUAUCCGGAUUUAUUGGGUUUAAAGGGUGCGUAGGCGGCCUGUUAAGUCAGGGGUGAAAGACGGUAGCUCAACUAUCGCACUGCCCUUGAUACUGAUGGGCUUGAAUGGACUAGAGGUAGGCGGAAUGAGACAAGUAGCGGUGAAAUGCAUAGAUAUGUCUCAGAACACCGAUUGCGAAGGCAGCUUACUAUGGUCUUAUUGACGCUGAGGCACGAAAGCGUGGGGAUCAAACAGGAUUAGAUACCCUGGUAGUCCACGCCCUAAACGAUGAACACUCGCUGUUGGCGAUACACAGUCAGCGGCUAAGCGAAAGCGUUAAGUGUUCCACCUGGGGAGUACGCCCGCAAGGGUGAAACUCAAAGGAAUUGACGGGGGCCCGCACAAGCGGAGGAGCAUGUGGUUUUAUUCUAUGAUACGCGAGGAACCUUACCCGGGCUUGAAAGUUAGUGAAUGAUCCAGAGAUGGAUCAGUG
rnacentral:rRNA from 1 species